rnacentral:tRNA from 1 species
GCCCAGAUAGCUCAGUUGGUAGAGCAGGGGACUGAAAAUCCCCGUGUCGGCGGUUCGAUUCCGUCUCUGGGCACCA